UACGUAGGGGGCAAGCGUUGUCCGGAUUAUUGGGCGUAAAGAGCGUGUAGGCGGCCACACAGGUCUGCUGUGAAAACUCGAGGCUCAACCUCGAGCUGUCGGUGGAAACCGUGUGGCUAGAGUCCGGAAGAGGAGAGUGGAAUUCCCGGUGUAGCGGUGAAAUGCGCAGAUAUCGGGAAGAACACCCGUGGCGAAGGCGGCUCUCUGGGACGGUACUGACGCUGAGACGGCGAAAAGCGUGGGGAGCGAACAGG
rnacentral:rRNA from 1 species